UACGGAGGGUGCAAGCAUUAAUCGGAUUUAUUGGGCGUAAAGGGCGCGUAGGCGGAGAUAUAAGUCAGAUGUGAAAUCCCGGGGCUCAACCCCGGAACGGCAUUUGAAACUGUAUCCCUUGAGGGUAGGCGGAGAAAACGGAAUUCCACAAGUAGCGGUGAAAUGCGUAGAUAUGUGGAGGAACACCAGUGGCGAAGGCGGUUUUCUAGCUUACUCCUGACGCUAAAGCGCGAAAGCAAGGGGAUCAAACAGG
rnacentral:rRNA from 1 species